rnacentral:tRNA from 1 species
GCUGUGAUGGCGAGUGGUUAAGGCGUUGGACUUGAAAUCCAAUGGGCAAUGCCCGCGCAGGUUCGAACCCUGCUCGCAGCG